rnacentral:rRNA from 1 species
GAUGAACGCUGGCGGCGUGCUUAAUACAUGCAAGUCGAACGAAGGGUUAGCAAUAACUCUUAGUGGCGAACGGGUGAGUAACGCGUUGGUGACCUGCCCCGAAGCGAGGGAUAACAGUUCGAAAGGAUUGCUAAUACCUCAUGUGGUUAUUUGGAUUAGAUGCCUUAUAACUAAACGGAUUUAUUCGCUUCGGGAGGGGCCUGCGUCCCAUCAGCUAGUUGGUAGGGUAAUGGCCUACCAAGGCUAUGACGGGUAGGGGACCUGAGAGGGUGGCCCCCCACAAUGGAACUGAAACACGGUCCAUACACCUACGGGUGGCAG